AGAACGACGCUUUGGGCCAAGAUUUCUAGGCGUGAUUCAGAUAAUUUUCAGCCAUCUUCUGGACUCAAAACAGGUAUAAAUUGAUUCCUCUCAUCGAUUAGAUAAAGUUUUGUGUUUGGAUCAUGUGAUUUGGUUGAAAAAACGAAAAGUUGUAACGAUUUAAAAUUUGGCUAGUUUCCGGCGAACCUGUGACAUUCCAGACCAUUUUCAGGCCAAAGCACAGCAAGUUAGUCAACGUGCAAGGUACCAAUCUCUUUGUCUCGUCGAGAACUAUGAUUUUCAUUUUUGAAUCACUUCAUUUCAUUGAAUAUUGACAAAGUUAUAGACAUUUAAAGUUUGCCCAGAAAUUCCGGCCAGUUACCAGUUUUCCUGCGAACAGCCAUAUUUCAGGCCAUUUUCCGGUCACCUCCGGCCAUCAUUUGGACUUCAAGCAGGUAUAAUAUCUUUCUACACUUCUCUAGCUUCGUUUUGGUAUAUUAUGGAUUGAAUUUGGGUGAUAAACAAGUGAGAUAUGGAGUUCUAAAUAUUGCCCAAAAAAUCUGCAAAAUCUGCAGAAUCCGGCGAAAUUUCAUUAAGGUCCACCACUCAAACAUUAUAGCAAUCGACGAUCCGACCAUUGGAUCAUCACCAAACUUUGAUAUAUUAUAGUAUGUAAUAUUUAAGGACCUUAGGAAGUUAUGAAUCGAAAAUCUAAUGGUUGGAUCUUACGAAGCAAGUGAUGUAGGAUCAUGGACCUUACCUUUCAAAGAUGGUUUGAUUCUCGUUAAAUGAUGUUGUGGGGGACAUAUGGGAGUUUCUGGGUAUGUGAAUUAUCGAAGGAAAUCUAAAUGUGGACAUGUACUUUGUUUUAGGCGAGGAUAGUGUGUGACAUCUCAAUUCUUGUGCUAGGAUGCGUUAGC
rnacentral:lncRNA from 1 species